AGUUUUUCAUUUCUGGCGCUGUGCUGCUGGAUCUGCGCUUGGAUUUCUGUAAGUGACGUCUGGAAGUGAGCAGCCAUUUCCGAUCGCUUCUCCUCGUCCUCACGACAGCGGCGCAGGGCUUCGUCCUUUGGCAGCCGAAGAGGACGUCUCACCAGCUCGGCGUGUUUACUCAUCAAAUGGUCAAGUUUUUCCUCAGAAGAUGACAAAGCGCUCAGACUGUCUGCAACACAAGCAACCUCUACAAGCACAACCGUCGGGACAACGGCGACAUUGAGAAAGGACAAGCGCCUUUGGAGCAGCUUAUCGGUGACUCUCAUUUCUCCCGACAUGCACGAACGAGUUGUUGUCCGGAGCUUGUCAAUGGACUUGGUGGCAGUAGCGGCUGCGUGUAUGCUCGGGUGUGUGUGUGUGUGUGUGUGUGUGUGUGUGUGUGUGUGUGUGUGUGUGUGUGUGUGUCCUAUUUUGGCAGGACAAUGACCACAGGAGUCUGUUUUGAGGCUACUACACAUGGAAAUUCCUGAGAGCCAAGAUGCCGCGGAUCUCCGUUCACAACGGCGUCCAGACAAGUAGGCGCUGGCAACGAGAGCUGACGUAGACCUGCGUUUGUUCUCCGGAUGAGCCAUCCACCAGACGUCCGCCGCAGAUGCUGUCUCGGACGUUGUGGGGGAGGAACCGUCGCCUAAAUUCUGCCGCUCUACGUCGGGGAGUCUCCCGCGCGCGGCAGCAGAAGAGCGCAACAGGAGAUCGCGAUCAAAGCGCAACCCCGCGCCAGUCGAAGAUAACAGAGAUGCCGGUCGUUAGCGACGAUGACGUGCGGAGAAAUGAGAGCCGCCCGCCGCUGCAAACGGCAAGUCACGCCGACGACGUCCACGCGCGCGGUGGCACCUGACUGGACGCCGGUCGUGAUGUCACGGUGCGCGUCCGCCUCCAUCUGAAACUGUCACAUGACACGCCACUUUGACCACUGUGAGGCCAUCACGCCUGACGCUAACAUCACAAGGGCUAACCUGAGCCUUGGCGCUGACAAUCUCUUUCAGUCUCCUGCCGAACUCCUCCAUGGGGUCGUCGGCCGCUUCCCCGUCUCGCGGGCGAGGCGCUAACACCUCGGUGGCUUUCACCGACAUCACGGGAGCGCUGAGGAGGAAAUAGCAAUGGAGUCACGUGCGCGUGGCCCGAGCACCAGUGAGGUGGCGACAGUAGCCGACAAGAGCCAAGCUAAAUUAGGAAAUUUGUCGGUGCUCGGCACGAUGAAACAUGACAGCUGCAGCUGUUUGGCCACCACAAUAAGUACGACACACGCCAGCCGACUCUCUUGACCAGGAGCUUUAAAGUCAACUUUUGCAGGGCCGCUUGACAGCAAAUCUGAGCUAUUCCACAAAGAAGUAUUUCCCCAAAAGCCUUUCACAGUUAUCCAAUGCAAAUUCGGAGCAGUUCAGAACACAAACGGCUCUAAAGAACUGGCCAGCCAGCCGGUCGGUCGUCUCUCAUCUCUCUGCAGGAUGUGUUUUUUUGCCACCUCAGAAUUACAUCUCGCCGAAGGUUGUCACGAGCCCGAGCUAUGUCAUUGUAAUAGUAAUCGAUAAUAAUGUUCGUGUAUAAAGUCAUUUUCUGUGCUACCCGUCGAAAAGUAGACUCACCUGUCCAAAUUGGAGUUAUUUUCUGGACGGGAUUUGUUGAAGAGGUGUGUGUGAGAUAAGUUUCAUAUAAAAAAAAAACAACAACACGAAAGCUUACCAGGUGAGAGAAGCGAAGGACGCCUAGCCAUGUAGACGAAGAGGAAAAUGAAGGCGACAGCUGAACCGCUGAAAAUAAUCUGAUCGGCCCCACCCACUUUCUGGCCUCGCAAGCGUUAGCCUGAGGUGAAAGGUUUAAAAAAAGAAAAAGAAAAGUGGUCUAUUUUCGUUCACUAUGUUGACGAUUUCAUGACGUCACGUCAUAGCACCAAGAAGUGCGGAAUUGUUGCAUCUCUCGUGGUGGCCACUUGGUGGAAGCAUUCAGUUACGAUGCUCACUUGGGGGAAGGAGGACACGUGAUGGGGAAGGCUCAGAUAACAAGGUCAGCCUCACCCGGAGCAAAUCAAAGUUGCGUUCUCUCCCUCCCUCCCCCCCAGCGCACGAGUGGCGUCGUCUCUUUCUUCUGCGCAAACGGACGGAAGACUGAGACGACACAGUGAUAUCAGCAGCCAAAGACCGGCGGAGUGCGGUCACCGCCAUCAAGCGGAACCGACGAGGCAAUUCAUCCCAUUUGAGAGCUUCUUCGUCGAUGCGCUGAUUGGUCCGAGCGUCACGUGACCUCAUCCCGCUCGCCGGUCACGCUUCCUGCCUGCUGCCGACGGUGGGCGCGGCCUUUUUGACGGAGGUCAGACGGACGUGGGACGUGCUGUACAGGUGUCCUACUGUGAUUGAGUGGACUAGGUGCUCUCCACUUGCCACCUCCCAACAUGACAUUUGAGUUGAAGGAAUAAAAAGAUGAGACGCCUGCCUGCAAAAGGCGCGAGUCCGAGGCGCCAGAGGCGAGCGUCGCUACUGAGAGGGCGGUGGCGACGCCUCCCUUCUGUGCGGUGGAUGAGGACGCAGCAUCUCAUGCACACGCACGCACGCACGCAUGCAUGCACACGGGGGAGUGGGCGGAGUCUGACCUGUCUCUUGGUGUGCUCGCUGACCUCGCCUGGCAUGUCCCGCGCGCUGCGCACCAGCGUGCGCGCAAUAUGGUAGUAGUACACGGAAAUGAUGCUCAGCGGGAACAGGAAGUAGACCAGGAAGAGCAUGACGGCGUGGACCUUGGGAUGCGUCUGCUCAGACAGAGGGUAUUGCUCCUGCUUGACUUUUCCCGUCGCUGGCCGCCUUCUCUGCUCAUCACUUCAUUGGAAAUCUCAAACUGAUUCGAGUUCCUCCGAUGACAGAAAGCGUGGAGGGAUUGAGGAAGACAACGGAGGCGACAGAAGGGAGGGACGAAGGUAAGAGACCGUCCGUCACUGAGCGGGUCGUCGAUCGAGUGAGGAAAAAAAGAGCAACUCCUUUCAAGUCUUACCCCGUUCUGCUCCGGUAUGCCCGCUUUUUUUU